rnacentral:rRNA from 1 species
AUUGAACGCUGGCGGCAUGCCUAACACAUGCAAGUCGAACGGCAGCGCGGGCUUCGGCCUGGCGGCGAGUGGCGGACGGGUGAGUAAUGCAUAGGAAUCUGCCCAGUAGCGGGGGACAACCUGGGGAAACUCAGGCUAAUACCGCAUACGCCCUACGGGGGAAAGCGGGGGACCUUCGGGCCUCGCACUAUUGGAUGAGCCUAUGUCAGAUUAGCUUGUUGGUGGGGUAAAAGCCUACCAAGGCGACGAUCUGUAGCUGGUCUGAGAGGACGAUCAGCCACACUGGGACUGAGACACGGCCCAGACUCCUACGGGAGGCAGCAGUGGGGAAUAUUGCACAAUGGGCGAAAGCCUGAUGCAGCAAUGCCGCGUGUGUGAAGAAGGCCUGCGGGUUGUAAAGCACUUUCAGUAGGGAGGAAACAGUAACGGAACAAUACCCGUUGCCU